GGGGAUGUAGCUCAGUGAUAGAGUGUGUGCUUAACAUGUGUGAGGCCCUGGGUUCUAUACCCAGAACCAUUUCUA
rnacentral:tRNA from 1 species